rnacentral:rRNA from 1 species
CCUACGGGUGGCAGCAGUGAGGAAUAUUGGUCAAUGGACGAGAGUCUGAACCAGCCAAGUAGCGUGCAGGAUGACUGCCCUAUGGGUUGUAAACUGCUUUUAUGAAGGAAUAAAAUGAGGCACGUGUGCCUUUUUGCAUGUACUUUAUGAAUAAGGACCGGCUAACUCCGUGCCAGCAGCCGCGGUAAUACGGAGGGUCCGGGCGUUAUCCGGAUUUAUUGGGUUUAAAGGGAGCGUAGAUGGGUUGUUAAGUCAGUUGUGAAAGUUUGCGGCUCAACCGUGAAAUUGCAAUUGAUACUGGGAGUCUUGAGUGCAGCUGAGGUAGGCGGAAUUCGUGGUGUAGCGGUGAAAUGCUUAGAUAUCACGAAGAACCCCGAUUGCGAAGGCAGCUUACUAUACUGUGACUGACAUUGAUGCUCGAAAGUGUGGGUAUCAAACAGGAUUAGAUACCCCUGUAGUC